UACGUAGGGUGCGAGCGUUAAUCGGAAUUACUGGGCGUAAAGCGUGCGCAGGCGGUUGGUUAAGUCUGAUGUGAAAGCCCCGGGCUCAACCUGGGAAUGGCAUUGGAAACUGGUCAGCUGGAGUGUGGCAGAGGGGGGUGGAAUUCCGCGUGUAGCAGUGAAAUGCGUAGAGAUGCGGAGGAACACCGAUGGCGAAGGCAGCCCCCUGGGCCAACACUGACGCUCAGGCACGAAAGCGUGGGGAGCAAACAGG
rnacentral:rRNA from 1 species